rnacentral:rRNA from 1 species
UGGGGAAUAUUGCACAAUGGGGGAAACCCUGAUGCAGCGACGCCGCGUGAGCGAAGAAGGUUUUCGAAUCGUAAAGCUCUGUCCUAUGAGAAGAUAAUGACGGUAUCAUAGGAGGAAGCCCCGGCUAACUACGUGCCAGCAGCCGCGGUAAUACGUAGGGGGCUAGCGUUAUCCGGAUUUACUGGGCGUAAAGGGUGCGUAGGUGGUCCUUCAAGUCGGUGGUUAAAGGCUACGGCUCAACCGUAGUAAGCCGCCGAAACUGGAGGACUUGAGUGCAGGAGAGGAAAGUGGAAUUCCCAGUGUAGCGAUGAAAUGCGUAGAUAUUGGGAGGAACACCAGUAGCGAAGGCGGCUUUCUGGACUGCAACUGACACUGAGGAACGAAAGCGUGGGUAGCAAACAGG